CGGCGGACGGGUGAGUAAUGCCUAGGAAUCUGCCUGGUAGUGGGGGACAACGUUUCGAAAGGAACGCUAAUACCGCAUACGUCCUACGGGAGAAAGCAGGGGACCUUCGGGCCUUGCGCUAUCAGAUGAGCCUAGGUCGGAUUAGCUAGUUGGUGAGGUAAUGGCUCACCAAGGCGACGAUCCGUAACUGGUCUGAGAGGAUGAUCAGUCACACUGGAACUGAGACACGGUCCAGACUCCUACGGGAGGGCAGUA
rnacentral:rRNA from 1 species